AGAGUUUGAUCCUGGCUCAGAACGAACGCUGGCGGCAUGCCUAACACAUGCAAGUCGAACGCUGUGCCGGUUUUGGCCGGCAGAGAGUGGCGCACGGGUGAGUAGCGCGUGGGAACCUGCCCUGUUGUGGGGGAUAACCGCGGGAAACUGCGGCUAAUACCGCAUACGCCCGAUGAGCAAUCAUCGGGGAAAGAUUGAUCGCCGCAGGAGGGGCCCGCGUCGGAUUAGGUUGUUGGUGGGGUAACGGCCUACCAAGCCUGCGAUCCGUAGCUGGUCUGAGAGGAUGAUCAGCCACACUGGGACUGAGACACGGCCCAGACUCCUACGGGAGGCAGCAGUGGGGAAUAUUGGACAAUGGGCGCAAGCCUGAUCCAGCAAUGCCGCGUGAGUGAUGAAGGCCUUCGGGUUGUAAAGCUCUUUCGCACGCGAGGAUGAUGACGCUAGCGUGAGAAGAAGCCCCGGCUAACUUCGUGCCAGCAGCCGCGGUAAUACGAAGGGGGCGAGCGUUGUUCGGAUUUACUGGGCGUAAAGGGCGCGUAGGCGGCGCGAGAAGUCGAGUGUGAAAGCCCCGGGCUCAACCUGGGAAUGGCGCUCGAGACUCUUGUGCUUGAGUUCGGGAGAGGAGCGUGGAAUUCCCAGUGUAGAGGUGAAAUUCGUAGAUAUUGGGAAGAACCCGGUGGCGAAGGCGGCGCUCUGGACCGAGACUGACGCUGAGGCGGGAAAGCGUGGGGAGCAAACAGGAUUAGAUACCCCCGUAGUCC
rnacentral:rRNA from 1 species